rnacentral:misc_RNA from 1 species
CGCGCUGCUCACCUCAAAAGGAUUAGCUGGACAUGUCGGGAGACUCGGUUCCACUUGGCGUAAUAAGUAUUUCGCUGAGGACAUCGCCUUCGGGGGGUGGCCGGGACUCUGGACGGACGUCUGCUUUCUAACUCGACGGCUUAGGCCUCACUUUUUUAUGAUCUGGCCUCAAAUCAGGUAGGACUACCCGCUGAACUUAA